GGGGGCAGAUCCCUGCUUCCUCAGGUACACGGCACAGACUCAAAACCGGAAGCGGCCUCGGCUGCUGCCUGCUGGGAAGGCGCGCCCACUCCCCCCCCCGCCCCCCGCCCCUACUUGUCACCCGCUAUUCCAGGACCCAGGGGAGCGGCGCAGGUGACAGACUUCCCGCAUUCAGCCUCACGGCACAGCUGGACGCGCCGGGGUCUUCCUCCGGCCGCCUCCUUUUCCAGUCCCAGAUGGAGUGUGAUGGCGGCGAGGACGGUGACCGUUUUGUUUUUUGGCCAUUGAUUUGCCGGGGUCCCUUUCCUUUCCACACCAAGCUGGAGGGUCGGCGUGCUGGCCUCCUUCUGCCAUGCCACACAGCAUCGUGUUAUACAAGCAAAGAAUUUUGGCUAAAAUCCAAAAAACAUUACCCAGAAAAAAAGGCAAACUAUGAAAAAGUUAAUAAACAAGAUGGCGACUCCGAUGUUGAGCAAGAUCACCAUGGCCACCAGGAUGGGGGCCGAGCCCUGCAACAGGACAGGAGAGCCCCGCAACUGGGACGAGAGAACACCGGCCCGGGAUUUCAGAUGCGGCCCACCCAGGACGGCCCCAGCAUUCAGCCCGAGAGCCCACACCACCCGGCAACGUCCGAGCCCUCGAGUGAGCCUUUAAGCACACGCGCCUCAGCAGGCGCCUCCUUCCCCGUCGCCGCUCAAGCUCUGUGCUAAGUGUUGUCCCUGCCCGGCCACCGGCCGCCUCCAGGCCUUUCCUGUCCCUGGAGCAGAGGUUCGGGUGCCUCCUGGGCCCGGCUCUCCUUGGAGCCUCCGCGGUGAUGGGUGCAGAGACCACCGUAUCGGACAGGGCACCGCGCUGACCCCAAGAGGACCUCGGAGGACACAGGACACCGGCCGUCCCAACGGAAUAGAUACAGGUGCCCGGCUGGAGGCCAGCCGCUGGCUGGCACCUCACCCCAAGGGAGCUUCAUUGGGAAGCACCAACGUGGUGAAGGAGGCCAAAUCUGGAACCUCCUCCCACGUCCCUUCCCCGGCCGUCAUCUGGCUCCCAAAAGUAACCACACGCACGCUGCACACGCUCCAUAUACAGAUGCGUGCAGAUGGUUCUGGCUGCUGGGACAGGGACAGAGCAGCGAGCCCACGGGUGCUCCCAGUGCCGACCACAGGGCUGCUGUCUGGGGGGACCUGGGUGCGGGAAGGCAGGAGCACUAAGGAACCAGCCUGCUCUCAAGAUGCUCACGGUGGUCUCGGGGGGCACCUGUCCACAGAAAGCGUCUCUCUCAAGGAGCACGGGGCCCUGACACGCCAGUGGUGUAGCUCCUCCAGGGGCCGACGGUGGACACGGACCCUGCCUCGCAGCGGGGUCCCAGAAGUGUCCCCGUGGGGCAGGUACGUGGCACUCGGCCAGGUGAUCAGGCCCUGAGGGACUGGGGCCGUAGGUCCUGGCACAGAGCACACGGGGGCAUCAGUCCCGGGGUGGGUCUGAGAAGCCGGGGGAGGGGCAGGACACGUCUGCUCACAGGUAGAGGGUCCCAGAAAGUCCCUCCUGGGGGUGGGCCCACCCCGGCACCACGCAGUCCAGGUGCCUCCACGCUGCCUUCCGUGGGAGGAAGCAGGCGCGAGCCCCGGCCUCCUUACCAGAGCAGGGGCUGACCUUCCUGGACCGCGGGGGUGUCUAGGUGAGGACGGGGCUCCUGGGCUGCCCAGUUGGUUUGGGCGCCUCCAGAACCACCCACGCACCUUGGCGGCUGGGGUCAGGCCUGGGGUCAGCCCUCUCUGAGACCUAAAGGGAGGGGGACCCCGUCGCCCGCCCCGGCCUCCUGGAGGGAAGGAGCCAGCCCUCGGCUGGAGGCGGCCACGUGCUGACCGCGGGCCCAGGGCCAGCGCCGCCACUCACCGUGCUGGGUUUGAGCUCGUCCCCGUC